GCAGAGAACAGACCUGCCAGAGAGCCUUGCUAUUUUUACUUCACUGCGAGGGGAUCUCAGGUUACAAAUUAUAUACGGAUGAGACUUGAGGAGCGAGUCAUUGUGGGUAGACCUGGCUUGGCUGGACAGGAGAAAUGAGCCCAUUUACUUCCCACCAAGAACAUGAAGAGGCUUCUGACCAGCAGAAAAAACUGAGGAUUGGUGGCACUGAAUGAACACAUGUAAUGCCCUCGUCCUUGCUUUGAGAGCUUAUGCUCUCACUGUCCUUUAAUAACCAGUACCCUGAGUAACCACAGAGUCUCAUCUAGACCACUUCACCCGUGCCUGAUGCAGUCCCCUUUUUUCUGUCCAGUCCAAAGGAGCUCAAUGGGGCCCUGAACCCUAACUCUUACGGAAUACAUUUGUUAUUUGAGAAUCAAUGAAUAAGGCUACAGUAAGAUUCAAUCCUGGCCAAUAAAUAC